rnacentral:rRNA from 1 species
UGAAUACGAGACGCUAAGGCGUCGAAGUAGUGUACGUCAUACUUCCAAGAAAAGCUUGCACUGUCAUAGAUAAAAAACGCCUGUACCAUAACCGACACAGGUGGAUAGGUAGAGUAUACUAAGGGGCGCGAGAUAACUCUCUCUAAGGAACUCGGCAAAAUAACUCCGUAACUUCGGGAGAAGGAGUGCCUUAUUCGUAAGGUUGCAAUAACAAGAUCCAAGCAACUGUUUAUCAAAAACACAGGUCUCCGCUAAGUCGUAAGACGAUGUAUGGGGGCUGGCGCCUGCCCAGUGCCAGAAGGUUAAAGAAGUUGGUUAGCAAUUGCGAAGCUGAUAACUGAAGCCCUGGUGAACGGCGGCCGUAACUAUAACGGUCCUAAGGUAGCGAAAUUCCUUGUCGGGUAAGUUCCGACCCGCACGAAAGGCGUAAUGAUUUGGAUACUGUCUCGGAGAGGGGCUCGGUGAAAUAGACUUGUCUGUGAAGAUGCGGACUACCUGCACCAGGACAGAAAGACCCUAUGAAGCUUUACUGUAACUUGAAAUUGAAAUUGGACUUUAUUCGCGCAGUAUAGGUGGGAGGCGUUGAUUAUAAUCUUGUGGGAUUAUUGGAGCCAUCAGUGAGAUACCACUCUUGUAAUGUUAGAUUUCUAACUUUGAAUCAUUAUCUGGUCAAAGAACAGUUUCAGGCGGGCAGUUUGACUGGGGCGGUCGCCUCCUAAACGGUAACGGAGGCGUACAAAGGUUUCCUCUGAACGGUUAGAAAUCGUAUCUAGAGUGUAAAGGCAUAAGGAAGCUUGACUGUGAGACCUACAAGUCGAGCAGGGACGAAAGUCGGUCUUAGUGAUCUGACGGUACUGAGUGGAAAGGCCGUCACUCAACGGAUAAAAGUUACUCUAAGGAUAACAGGCUGAUCUCCCCCAAGAGUUCACAUCGACGGGGAGGUUUGGCACCUUGAUGUCGGCUCAUCGCAUCCUGGGGCGGUAGUACGUCCCAAGUGUUGGGCUGUUCGCCCAUAAAAGCGGUACGCGAGCUGGGUUCAGAACGUCGUGAGACAGUUCGGUCCAUAUCCGGUGUAGGCGUUAGAAUAUUGAGAGGAGCCUUCUUUAGUACGAGAGGACCGAGAAGGACAUACCUCUGGUGUACCAGUUAUCGUGCCAACGGUAAACGCUGGGUAGCUAUGUAUGGAGUGGAUAACCGCUGAAAGCAUCUAAGUGGGAAGCCCACCUCAAGAUAAG